rnacentral:tRNA from 1 species
GCAUCGGUGGUUUAGUGGUAAAAUUAGCCGUUGCCAUCUGUAUCAGAUCAAUUCGGCUAGCCCCGGGUUCGAUUCCCGGCCGAUGCA